rnacentral:lncRNA from 1 species
GUACUUCUCCGCGUCUUGACGAGAAGUUGGCCGGGCGGAAGGAUCUAGAUCAACGGCACCCUUCCCGCCCUUCUUGGUGGAGACCUUCAUCUUCUUCUUUGGUCCGUCUUUCAAUUUCGCUUUCCCUUUUGCAGUCCCACUGACGAAACAUUGCUGGAUGAAUUGGUGCGUCAGAGAUUUGAGUGGUUUUGCUCUCACGACCCGGAACAUAUCUACUCCUCGGAUUGUUCUCGUCUACGCUUCCUGUUACACUCAUGGCGUCUGUUUGCUGGUUGUGAAACCAGAGUGAUUUCGGAGGACUCCAUUUUUGGAUGGAAGAAAAACAAGGUAAGCUCCAUCCACUAGACUGUUAGUGUUGGGUUAAGCUGGGCUGAGUAAAAUCAGACCAGUUAAGCUCCAUCCACUAGACUGUUAGUGUUGAGUUAAGCUAGGAUGGUCUCCGACCCUUCCUUCCACCCUUCUCCUGUCCACCGUCGUCAUACUUUGUAAGUUUCGACUUUUCUAGCAGUUUGUCCAAUUUGUAUCCGUAGGUUGUCAUGCGUGAUACUCAUAUAGUGGUGUGAUAUACUCUUUCAUAUCUCUUCGUUUAUAUUAAUAUCAAUCUCACGGCUUGAGUAAAUUUUUAAUUAUUGAUUGCAUUUGCUAUCUUCGAUUUCGAUUCUUCUAUGAAGAAAAAAGAGAUAGACUUACCAAGAACAAUAAGGAAACGAUCCAAUACUGAAACCAAACGAAUUAUAGCUUUGAGAUAAAACAAACAAAUGGGUAUGAAGUUAAAACACAGAUGGCAGAACCAUAACAUUACAUGUUUAGAUUCUUUUCCGUAUCGUUUUCACAUGUGUUUUGCAAAAUUGCGUCCUAUCUAUCAAUAUACUUUCCUAAUCAACUUUGCUUCUGUUUUGCCCCCCCCCCCCUCCACCACAUCAAUCAGAAAACAGAGUAAUACACCAACUGAUCAGCAGAAUCAACACCAAACCCGGCCAGUUUGGAGGCCGGUUCAUGAUCUCUCUGGGCAGUACUCUUGCAGCAACCGCCGCCGUUGGCGAGAUCGUGGAACUGAUCGGAAUUAUUUGAAGGAGG